UCCAGACUCCUACGGGAGGCAGCAGUGGGGAAUAUUGCACAAUGGGGGAAACCCUGAUGCAGCGACGCCGCGUGAGCGAUGAAGUAUUUCGGUAUGUAAAGCUCUAUCAGCAGGGAAGAAAAUGACGGUACCUGACUAAGAAGCCCCGGCUAACUACGUGCCAGCAGCCGCGGUAAUACGUAGGGGGCAAGCGUUAUCCGGAUUUACUGGGUGUAAAGGGAGCGUAGACGGCUUGGCAAGCCAGAUGUGAAAGGCUGGGGCUCAACCCCAGGACUGCAUUUGGAACUGUCAUGCUAGAGUGUCGGAGAGGCAGGCGGAAUUCCUAGUGUAGCGGUGAAAUGCGUAGAUAUGAGGAGGAACACCAGUGGCGAAGGCGGUCUGCUGGACAGCAACUGACGCUGAGGCGCGAAAGCGUGGGGAGCAAACAGGAUUAGAUACCCUUGUAGGC
rnacentral:rRNA from 1 species